rnacentral:rRNA from 1 species
CAAAAGGGAAACAGCCCAGACCCACAGCUAAGGUCCCCAAUGUAUGCUAAGUGGAAAACGAUGUGACAAUGCUAAGACAACUAGGAUGUUGGCUUAGAAGCAGCCACUCAUUCAAAGAGUGCGUAAUAGCUCACUAGUCGAGUGAUGUUGCGCGGAAAAUUCAACGGGGCUAAGCAUGCAACCGAAGCUUAGGAUUGUCUAAAGACAGUGGUAGGGGAGCGUUCUGUAUGGGGUGAAGUCGCAGCGAGAGCAGCGGUGGACUGUACAGAAGUGAGAAUGCCGGAAUGAGUAGCGAGAAUUGUGUGAGAAUCAUAAUGGUCGAAAAUCUAAGGUUUCCGGGGGUAGGGUCGUCCACCCCGGGUUAGCCGGGAGCUAAGGCGAGGCCGCGAGGCGUAGUCGAUGCACAUACGGUAGAAAUUCCGUAGCCGCCAGAUCUUAAGUAACUGACACGAGGGUAGAGUUCAACCCGGGCGUUGGUAGAGCCGGGCGAAAGGGACUGAAGAAUAGUAGGGAAGUGAACGAAGCCAGCGGCGAGAAAAGGUUAUGUAUGAAAUCAGGCGCCCGUACCGCAAACCGACACAGGUAGAUGAGGAGAGGAUCCUAAGGCCAGCGGGAGAAGGGUUGUUAAGGAACUCGGCAUAUUGACCCCGUAACUUCGGAAGAAGGGGUGCCUCCGUAAGGAGGCCGCAGUGAAAAGGCCCAGGCAACUGUUUAUCAAAAACACAGGUUUCUGCAAAAGCGAAAGCUGAAGUAUAGGAGCUGACGCCUGCCCGGUGCUGGAAGGUCAAGGGGAUCGCUUAGCGCAAGCGAAGGCGAGAACUUAAGCCCCAGUAAACGGCGGCCGUAACUAUAACGGUCCUAAGGUAGCGAAAUUCCUUGCCAGGUAAGUUCUGGCCUGCACGAAUGGCGUAAUGAUCUGGGCACUGUCUCAACAGCCCGCCCGGCGAAAUUGUAGUACCGGUGAAGAUGCCGGUUUCCUGCGACUAGACGGAAAGACCCCAUGGAGCUUUACUGUAGUCUGAUACUGAAAUUUGGUUCAUUAUGCACAGGAUAGGUGGGAGACAGAGAAACCCGGGCUUUGGCUUGGGCGGAGUCGCCGUUGGGAUACCACUCUUGAUGAACCAAGUUUCUAACCUGCUCCCGUGAUCCGGGCGGGGGACAAUGUCAGGUGGGCAGUUUGACUGGGGCGGUCGCCUCCAAAAGAGUAACGGAGGCGUUCAAAGGUUGGCUCAGCGCGGACGGAAAUCGCGCAAUGAGUGUAAACGUAUAAGCCAGCCUAACUGUGAGACCUACAAGUCGAGCAGUAACGAAAGUUGGAGUUAGUG